AACGCGAAGAACCUUACCUGGGUUUGACAUGCACAGGACGACUGCAGAGAUGUGGUUUCCCUUGUGGCCUGUGUGCAGGUGGUGCAUGGCUGUCGUCAGCUCGUGUCGUGAGAUGUUGGGUUAAGUCCCGCAACGAGCGCAACCCUUGUCUCAUGUUGCCAGCACGUUAUGGUGGGGACUCGUGAGAGACUGCCGGGGUCAACUCGGAGGAAGGUGGGGAUGACGUCAAGUCAUCAUGCCCCUUAUGUCCAGGGCUUCACACAUGCUACAAUGGCCGGUACAAAGGGCUGCGAUGCCGUGAGGUGGAGCGAAUCCUUUCAAAGCCGGUCUCAGUUCGGAUCGGGGUCUGCAACUCGACCCCGUGAAGUCGGAGUCGCUAGUAAUCGCAGAUCAGCAACGCUGCGGUGAAUACGUUCCCGGGUCUUGUACACACCG
rnacentral:rRNA from 1 species